rnacentral:rRNA from 1 species
CCUACGGGUGGCAGCAGUGGGGAAUAUUGCACAAUGGGCGCAAGCCUGAUGCAGCCAUGCCGCGUGUGUGAAGAAGGCCUUCGGGUUGUAAAGCACUUUCAGCGGGGAGGAAGGCGGUGAGGUUAAUAACCUCAUCGAUUGACGUUACCCGCAGAAGAAGCACCGGCUAACUCCGUGCCAGCAGCCGCGGUAAUACGGAGGGUGCAAGCGUUAAUCGGAAUUACUGGGCGUAAAGCGCACGCAGGCGGUCUGUCAAGUCGGAUGUGAAAUCCCCGGGCUCAACCUGGGAACUGCAUUCGAAACUGGCAGGCUAGAGUCUUGUAGAGGGGGGUAGAAUUCCAGGUGUAGCGGUGAAAUGCAUAGAGAUCUGGAGGAAUACCGGUGGCGAAGGCGGCCCCCUGGACAAAGACUGACGCUCAGGUGCGAAAGCGUGGGGAGCAAACAGGAUUAAUACCCCAGUAGUC